rnacentral:rRNA from 1 species
GACGAACGCUGGCGGCGUGCUUAACACAUGCAAGUCGAACGGAAAGGCCCUGCUUUUGUGGGGUGCUCGAGUGGCGAACGGGUGAGUAACACGUGAGUAACCUGCCCUUUACUUUGGGAUAACUUCAGGAAACUGGGGCUAAUACCGGAUAGGAGCUCCUGCUGCAUGGUGGGGGUUGGAAAGUUUCGGCGGUUGGGGAUGGACUCGCGGCUUAUCAGCUUGUUGGUGGGGUAGUGGCUUACCAAGGCUUUGACGGGUAGCCGGCCUGAGAGGGUGACCGGCCACAUUGGGACUGAGAUACGGCCCAGACUCCUACGGGAGGAAGAAGUGGGGAAUAUUGAACAAUGGGCGGAAGCCUGAUGCAGCAACGCCGCGUGCGGGAUGACGGCCUUCGGGUUGUAAACCGCUUUCGCCUGUGACGAAGCGUGAGUGACGGUAAUGGGUAAAGAAGCACCGGCUAACUACGUG